GGGUCUAUAGCUCAGUGGUAGAGCAUGGUAGAGCAUUUGACUGCAGAUCAAGAGGUCACCGGUUCGAAUCCGGUUGGGCCCU
rnacentral:tRNA from 1 species